rnacentral:lncRNA from 1 species
UAAUUCUCAUGUUCCCAUCCACGUGCUGCACGUGCAGCAGGCCUCGGACGAUGGGGAUGACGUCCAGCCGGGAAUGGAGGUAAGAUGGGGGGGAGGGUCAGGGCUCUUAUGUGUUUUACGUGGGGCAUCAAAAUGCUGUCGUACUCCGAUAUGGCUAUCGGAGUACGGCAGAUUUGUUUGAUGCAGGCAGGUAGUUGUGGGGCACAGCUGUGCCAGGGUCGUUUUUCUUUGUGGAUUCGUUACCCCUUGCCCUCUUUCUUGUUCCUGAUGCUAUGGAGGGUGGCUGGGGCUGGUUGGGGGAGGGGUGUGUGUAUGUUUCGCCUCCGUCAUUGACGUGCCUGCCCGAAUUGACGUGCCUGCCCUAAUUCUCAUGUUCCCAUCCACGUGCUGCACGUGCAGCAGGCCUCGGACGAUGGGGAUGACGUCC